AGAGGAACUGGCGUAGCGUCCUGGUAGACAUGCUGCAGCCCCGCCGUCCCCGGCUUCUCCGUGAGGUCCCCGGGACUCCUCGCCACCACCUGGCACUGGCCCCCGGCUGCCUGCUCCUGGAGUCGCGCGGGGCCCCCUCUCCGUCCCUGCCCAACCCGCGGAGGCUUACCUCACUCUCUCUUCGGGUUGCAUUCGCCAUAAGAGAGCCGGUAGACCCCUGAAAUCCCGGGACCGCCUCCCACGCAAAACGUGAGACAAACAAAAGGAAAGGCGGAAACGCAGAAACGCAGAGGUAGCCAGUGGAUGAGGCAUGCGCAGAGCCCACGCUCAAAGCCUGGCGCUGUUGGCGCCCAACCUGGAAACUACCUUUCCCGUGAGGACGCGAGAGCAGCCCUUCGGGAUUGGCAGAGAGGUGCCCCGCUAGGCAGUGGACAGAUGCGGUCUGAGUUGGUGUGGGAACUGCCCGCAGCCCUGGCUCUCCCGGGGCGACCCAAAGGGAUGCACUGCAGGGGAGGUCUGUGUGCAGCAAGUGUGCAGGUUAGACACAGACGCCUCAAGGAAAGGACAGCUGUGUGUCAGUUUCACUUUAAAUGUUAGGAAGUAGAUCUUAUUGAUACAGUUUAAAAGACUUUGACACUAUCAGCGAUUCUUUGAGAGCAGGGAUGGGGGGGAUGGGGGAGGUGCCACAGGAAAGCUACUUCAUCAAAAUCGUUAACGCAAUAAACGGAAAUUGAAAAGUCAGAAAAUAGACAUAAUCCGAAAGAAGAAAAUAAAUGUCACAUGAUUUCCCCUGUGACAUUAAAAUUGCUUGACUAAAUGGAAAUACAUUUAGUCUAUCUGUACCU
rnacentral:lncRNA from 10 species